ACAUAAAUGUCAAGUCAUGUUUAUAUUUUAUUUGCAUAUUUAUUGUGUGUUUAUAAUUAUUUGAUUGUUAAUGCGGACCCGGAACAAAGUUUGUGUUCCGCCGGACAUUUUUUGCUGGUACACGAGUGAGAAGCAUGUGGAGAGAAGUGAAGGUACAAGCAGGCAAGAAAGUGAAGGUUAAGCAUUUAUUUUGGGAUUUUGAUGAUUCGUAACCAUUCCCUCUGGGGUGUGCAGCCAGCGAGGUACGUUUAUUUUGUGUUUGGUUUAUGUUGUGCAUUUAUUUAUAAUUCUGUUUGUCUCUUUAAAAUGUGAUGUUUUACUGUACGUCAUAGUUCGACGGUGGAUUUGUUCGGACGUAAGGAGCAACAAGUGCUCAGAAGGAAAGAAUAAAUUCAUCUGUGAUGAUAAAGAACUGCUUCGUUGCCUCAUUGGAGGGAGUGAUAGUCGAACUCGGUCUGCAACAAGCCGAAGCGGACCUGCAAGACUCCUGACGCGUCGUCGACAAGCAUCUCAGAUAAGCUGUUAUAAACGUUAAGGACAAGGACCGAAAUCUAAGUUACCUUUGGACAUUUAAGAGUAAUCGUGAUAUUAGUGUUUUGAAGUUCAGUGUUGUUAUUGAAGGGUCGGUCAAUUAAGUUCAAUUAAGUGCCACAACUUGUUACCUUUUGUAUGGUUUGUGAAUUUGUGUCGUUUACCUUAUGCAAAGGAAAUAUGUAGAACCAUAACUUGCUAAUUCUUCGCGGUUGUUUUAACAGUGCUAAUUUAAUCCUGGUAAAUUCUAUUUUGACUGUUACGUAGUUUCUAAGAUGUCUCAGGCAAGCAAAGACACUGAGAGUGCAUUAGCUGGUUUAGAGCAAGAGGUAGACCAGUCAGAUGUUCCUCAACCAACAACAAUAUCUAAAGAGCCUCGAAGGAGUGAAAGAGCUCGAACAUUAACUGAAAAGGGAAAAGAACUUCAGAAGGAAAAGCUAGAAGUUCUUCUGCUACGCUUUGACAGUAUUUAUGAAAGAUGGAGAGCUCUGACCAAGGUUGCUAAGAAAUCUGAAAUGAGUCAAGAUCCCAGUGAAAUUCUACAGGAACACAUUAGCAGCGUUCAGAAAGAGGCAUCAGAGCUGAACAAUAUUUAUGAUGACUACAGAAGAAUUGAUAGUCCAGCUCAUGACAUGCGUCGUAAGAUGGACAACUGUACAUCAAUUACUGAAGUAGUGGUUCAGAACGCUCAGUUGCAAAUUCAAGGAAGAGAAGAGCAGAUUAUUUGGCCUAAUGCAAAGUCAGUAUUUGCAUCUUCCAUUUCCAGUGUUUCACCACCUGCUUCAAGUCGUUCUAAGAUUAAUUCUUUGCGCUCUGAUACAUCUUCAGUCAAAAGACAAGAAGCUGCUGCUGAGUAUGCAGCCACACAAGCUGUCUUAAAGAUUAUGGCUGAGCAAGAGUCAUAUCAAGAAAAACUACAAAAGCUUGAGGUUGAAGAGAAGUUGAUCAUUGCAGAACAAGAAGCAGCUGCAUUAGCUUGUCAUCUGCAAGCGGAAAAGGAAGAAACAGAGCGUAGAAUAGAAAGGGAGAAACGAAAAUCCGCUCUCCAAAGGAAACAACAAGAGGAGAACGCCGCAAGAAGGAGGUCAGUAGAAAACUUAAAAAGAGAACUUGAGCGUUUGGAGGAAUUGAAAAGGCUGAAUGCAGCCAAGGCAAAACUUCAGGUUUAUGAUGAACACGAGAAUGAUCAGGUUAAGGGUUUUGCAGCAAAUAGCGCAGAACUUCCUAUUGUCAUGCAGACUGUCAGUCAGAUUAAGCAAGAACCACAACCACCAAGAGUUGUGUUCUCUAAUAGUAGUCCAACACAAAAUGAAACAGGAGCACUUGUGAAGGUUUUGGCUGAGGCUAUGUCAGCAAACAGGCUCCCCAUUCCAGAACCUACCGUCUUUUGUGGAGAUCCACUUAGGUUUGUUCAUUGGAAGGCAUCUUUCAAGACUCUGAUUGAGCAGAAAAACAUUCCAACCUCAGAGAAGAUCUUCUUCCUUCAGAGAUAUGUUGGAGGAGCAGCACGAGAGGCUUUGGAAGGUUACUUUCUAAUUGGUUCAGAAGAGUCAUAUGAAGCAGCUUGGAAGUUGCUCAGUGAACGAUAUGGACAUCCAUUUGUAAUUGCAAAGGCUUUCAGAGACAAAUUAUAUUCCUGGCCAAAGGUAGCUGCAAAGGAAAGUGCUGAGUUUAGGAAAUUUGUGGACUUCUUGCGCAGUUGUGAAUGUGCUAUGGCUCACAAUGAAAGUCUAAAUGUCCUUGAUGAUGGACUUGAGAACCAGAAGCUGGCAGCUAAAUUACCCGACUGGUUAAGCACCAGAUGGAACAGAAAGGCCACAGAAUAUCAACUGGAGCAUGGGAGAUUCCCGAAGUUCAGUUAUUUUGUGACAUUCCUUUCAUUAGAGGCCAGUAUUGCUUGCAAUCCUAUUACAUCUUAUCAAGCAUUACGGCAGACUGAAUCUGAUAAGGUGAGGAUUAAAAAUCAGACAUUAGUAACUCCUAAAACCCAGACCAUAGGUUCCAAAAUAUUCACAACCAAUACCAGUGAGAGAAACAGAGUCACCUGUCUGUUCUGUGAGAAAGUAGGGCAUGGUGUACAAAAGUGUUUCAAAUUACUGGACAAGGCAGUUGCUGACAGAGUCAAAUUCAUUCGAAGUGAAAAUCUAUGCUUCGGCUGUUUGAGCAUUGGCCAUCAGUCUAAGAAAUGUACCAAUCGGAUGGUCUGUGAAGUCUGCUCAAAACGUCACCCCACGUGUUUACACGAAGAUCGCUCAAACCGUGAACAAGGAGCAAAGAGAGAACAAUUCAAAGGAAGAGUUAGCACUAAAGAAUCAGCACAACCAAGUGUCAGUAACGAAAGCACGUCCAACAGAGUUGUACAAGAUGGUAAAAGUGUACAGACUUCAGCCAUAGUCCCGGUGUAUGUGUCUUCACCAAAGGAUCCAAACAAGGAAGUUCUUGUUUAUGCUCUGUUAGAUUCACAGUGAUUCUUCAUUUAUUCUUGAGGAAGUAGCAGAUGUUCUAAACAUGGACACAGAACAAGUCAGACUGAAAUUGUCUACAAUGUCAUUUAAAGGGACAAUUGUAGUUUGUAAAAGACUCAAUGGUCUACAGAUAAGAGGACUAGACUCCUCUAAGAAAGUUACAGUGCCAACAGCUUAUACUCGGGAGUUCAUUCCUGCCAAUCGGACUCAUAUUCCAACUCCAGAGACAGCUCAGGCAUGGCCGCACUUGGAACAUCUUGCAGCACACAUGGCUCCACAGAAGGACUGUGCAAUUGGUCUCCUAAUAGGUUAUAAUUGCCCACAAGCAUUAUUACCUAGAGAAGUUGUAUGUGGAGAAGAAAACCAACCUUUUGCACAGAAGACUGACCUAGGUUGGAGCAUAGUGAGCUAUGUUGCGCCGUUCGAGCACCAUGGUGAUGAUAUUGGAAUAAGUCAUCGCAUCAUUGUAAAGAGAGUGAUGCCAGAAUCCACACCUACAGCUAAACUUAAGAGUGAAGUUCACUAUGUGUGUAAGACUCAAAUCAAGGAAUUGACCACUCCAGACAAUGUAAUUAAGAUCCUAGAAUCUGAUUUCAGUGAAAGAGAUGUGGAGGAAGCAAUACUUUCUCAGGAAGAUUUCCACUUCUUGACCAAGCUGAAGGAGGGAAUCAUGCAGAAACAUGAUGGUCAUUAUGAAAUGCCCCUGCCUUUCAAACAAGACAGACCAAACCUGCCUAGCAAUAAAGCAUGUGCUGUUCAUCGGUUGUCAUGCUUAAAGCGCAGAUUCAAGAGAGACCAGAAAUAUCACACAGACUAUAAGAACUUCAUGAAAGAUCUCAUAGCUCGUGGUGAGGCAGAAAAGAUCACAGACGAGGAAUUGAACAACGAACCAGCCUGGUAUAUACCUCAUCAUGGUGUAUACCACCCUCAAAAGCCAGGGAAGAUACGAGUAGUCUUUGAUUGCUCUGCAAGGUUUCAAGACACUUCCCUGAAUGACCAUCUUCUUACAGGUCCAGAUCUUACAAACAACUUGGUGGGAGUUCUUUGUAGGUUUCGUGAGGGACCCAUAGCUGUCAUGUGUGACGUCGAACGCAUGUUUCAUCAGUUUCAUGUUAAGACUGAAGACCAGGACUACUUAAGGUUCUUAUGGUGGGAGGAUGAUGAUCUGGAAUCUUCACCAUCAGUGUUUCGAAUGAAGUGAUCCAAAAUGCUGAUUCCAGAGUUGCUCCUGAAUACUCUUGAUGAUCUGUCAGACGAUGACUUUAAAAGGUUUAGGUGGUACCUCACAGUGGGAGUCAUGGACAGCUGCAAACGGAUGGCGACGAGCAGCGUGGAGAAGGCGAGCCGGUGUGAGGUUGUGGAUAAAAUGAUCCGAAGCUACGGAGAAGCGUCAGCUGUGUCGCUCACUGCAGAGAUACUGAAAAAUAUGCAUAUGAUGGCUCUUGCACAAACGUUAAUGGAUGCAUAUGCAGCAGAGAGACAAUCUGCACCCUCCUCUUCCUCCUCCUCAUCCUCUUCCUCUGCUGCAGCACCUCCACCUGCUUCUGCCUCUGUAAUAGCUCAGCAUGGCAGUGUGGUCGUGGCCCCAAAUAUCAUCGGUACCACCGCUGGAGCAUUGAAUAUAACCAUCAACAAAACCGGAUUUGUUGAUGACUGAUACAAUAGGAACCACCAACACAGUUGGGGAGGGAUCUGGAACAAGAUACGGCACCUGCAGGUGUAGCAGGUCACAACAGUUGAUAGGAAGUGUUAAAGCAGGAUAAUUUUAGAAAAAGUUCAUACUACACUGUUGUGAUGUGAGAAAGAUAUUAAAAGUGAUCUGCUGAAAACCAACAUAAAAUUAACCAUCUGUAUCAUUUACUGUCAUAUGUGUCUAAAUACACAGUAACUUAUAUUAGAUAUGAUACAAAAUGUUUUCCUGAGUAAAAUUGUGCCAUUAUUAUAGUAAAACAAAUCCAAACUAUAAAUCGCAUGCAUGAAGUGAUUUUUAAUGUAUUCCCUUUUUUCUCAGUUCUUAGUUUGUGAUUGUUGUUAUUUUAAAAGAAUCAAUAAAUUGUUAAAUAUAUGUGCGAUCAAAAUGGACCAGCUGCGAUAGGAAUCGAAUUAAUUGAGCAUCCGACUUUACCGUUAAUCUACAACUGUGAUGAUACUUUAUACAAUAUAUACAAUGCAAAUUCAAGUACUUUCACGUAGACAGGUGAUUCUUUUGUGUUUCUAAUUCUCGAGAUGACCUGUGGUUUCCGCCACCAAUAAUAAUAAAACUAUCUAAAAAAAAUCA